UGAGUAAUUGAGGCUACCGCCCCCACCAUUUCAGACCAUAAAGAUGCUGAAAAAACAGUCAUAUGAGCUGAAGGACAGGGGGAGGAAAGUCCAGGCACCAAAGAGCAAGAGGGUCGGCGUAAGCCGACCGAGGGCGACCUUAGGGAAAGUGGAACAGAAAUACACCGCCUCGCCGAUGGCGGGGCAAGGGUGAAAUCGUGCGGUAAGAGCGCACGGAUUCUGAUGGUGACAUCAGAAUCAUCCAAACCCCCUCUGGUGCAAGUUGGAAGGGUCUGACCAUCAUCAAUUCGGCUGCUCGCCGAGAUGACCACGGACCCCAACGCUUAGACAGAUGGUAGCCCAAACAGAACCUGGCUUAUCAAUUACUCAAGGC
rnacentral:RNase_P_RNA from 1 species